rnacentral:rRNA from 1 species
GAUGAACGCUAGCUACAGGCUUAACACAUGCAAGUCGAGGGGCAGCAUGGUCUUAGCUUGCUAAGGCCGAUGGCGACCGGCGCACGGGUGAGUAACACGUAUCCAACCUGCCGUCUACUCUUGGACAGCCUUCUGAAAGGAAGAUUAAUACAAGAUGGCAUCAUGAGUCCACAUGUUCACAUGAUUAAAGGUUUACCGGUGUAAGAUGGGGAUGCGUUCCAUUAGAUAGUAGGCGGGGUAACGGCCCACCUAGUCUUCGAUGGAUAGGGGUUCUGAGAGGAAGGUCCCCCACAUUGGAACUGAGACACGGUCCAA